rnacentral:rRNA from 1 species
AUUUGACGUUAGCUGCAGAAGAAGCUACCGGCUAACUCCGUGCCAGCAGCCGCGGUAAUACGGAGGGUGCGAGCGUUAAUCGGAAUUACUGGGCGUAAAGCGCAUGCAGGUGGUUUGUUAAGUCAGAUGUGAAAGCCCGGGGCUCAACCUCGGAAUUGCAUUUGAAACUGGCAAACUAGAGUACUGUAGAGGGGGUAGAAUUUCAGGUGUAGCGGUGAAAAUGCGUAGAGAUCUGAAGGAAUACCGGUGGCGAAGGCGGCCCCCUGGACAGAUACUGACACUCAGAUGCGAAAGCGUGGGGAGCAAACAGGAUUAGAUACCCCUGGUAG